UCCUGGGUGGCUCAGCGGUUGAGUGUCUGCCUUUGGCUCAGGGCAUGAUGUGGGAUCGAGUCCCACAUCAGGAU
rnacentral:tRNA from 1 species